AUCCUGGAAUGGGUUGCCAUUCCCUUCUCCAAGAGAUCUUCCCAACCCAGGGGUCAAACACAUUGCAGGCAGAUUCUUUACCAUCUGAGCCACCAGCGAAGCCCUUAACUUCUAGUUCAUUUCCUUAAAGAUGAAGCCUCCUGCCCUCGACAGUCUUUCCUGCUUUCCUUCUGCUCAUUUGAAAACAUGGUUGAAACAAAGCCAAUACUAGCUACAAAGACAAUACUCUAAGAGAACAGAUGAAGAAGUUGAAAGAAAACAGAGUCCCUCAAUGCUUCAAUGCCGGAAGGCAUGGACUGUUUUAUGAGAGAAAAAUAAACUUACUUAACCAAGCA